rnacentral:rRNA from 1 species
UACAGAGGUCUCAAGCGUUGUUCGGAUUCAUUGGGCGUAAAGGGUGCGUAGGCGGCGCGGUAAGUCGGGUGUGAAAUCUUGGAGCUUAACUCCGAAACUGCAUUCGAUACUGCCGUGCUUGAGGACUGGAGAGGAGACUGGAAUUUACGGUGUAGCGGUGAAAUGCGUAGAUAUCGUAAGGAAGACCAGUGGCGAAGGCGGGUCUCUGGACAGUUCCUGACACUGAGGAGCGAAAGCCAGGGGAGCAAACGGG